CUACGAAAACCCUAAACAAUUAGAUCUGAAACGAAACAGAAAAUUAAAAGAUUAGAUUUUUUAAUUUUCAGAUCUGAAAUAAAAUCCCCAAAUCAGCAAAGAAUCAAAUUGAGAAUAGAAAUAAGUGUUAGGGUUUUUGAAACUCUCAAGGAGAUUGUGAUUCUGCCCAAUUGAACACCAAGAUAGUUUUCCCCAAAUUUCGACAAUCUAAUUUCACCCAAAAAGAGUAUGGAAAAACCCUAGAAAUUGGGGAUUUUUGGGCUGAUUCCUUAAGAUAGAAAAAGGCUGAAAACACAAUAAGAACAGAAAAUAGAUUAGAUAAUGAUUCAGCACAAGUAGAAAUAAAGAAAGAAUUGACAGUAAGAAAUUAAAA
rnacentral:lncRNA from 1 species